rnacentral:piRNA from 1 species
UUGAAUGGUGAGAAGAGAGGAUGGAGCAGA